GGGUUUUGCCCAUGAACCUGACAUCGUAGCAGAACCCUUCUUUCAUCAGAUUGUAGGGAUUUUGCACAUGAACCUGACAUAGUAGGAGAUCCAUUAUUUUAUCAGAUUGUAAGUAUUGAAUUUGUUUAUCAUUUUCAUAAAUAAUUUGUGUGAUUAGCACACGGGAAACCUGCAAAAAUGUCAUUUGUGUGCUUCGAAAUGCAAAUUUUUGAUGAUUUUUGGUGUCUAACGGGCGGACGAAAGGUCUUAAGACAACGGUCCUAUUAUGAUAUUGUAUGUGUUGAAAUUGUUUCUCAUUUUUGUAAAUAAUUGUCAUGUUUCAUACAAUGAAAAGUAAAUUAAAUUAGUUAUUUUAAAUAUUA